rnacentral:rRNA from 1 species
GACGAACGCUGGCGGCGUGCUUAACACAUGCAAGUCGAACGGAAAGGCCCUGCUUUUGUGGGGUGCUCGAGUGGCGAACGGGUGAGUAACACGUGAGUAACCUGCCCUUGACUUUGGGAUAACUUAAGGAAACUGGGGCUCAUACCGGGUAGGAGCUCCUGCUGCAUGGUGGGGGUUGGAAAGUUUCGGCGGUUGGGGAUGGAAUCGCGGCUUAUCCGGUUGUUGGGUGGGUAGUGGCUUACCAAGGCUUUGACGGGUAGCCGGCCUGAGAGGGUCACCGGCCACAUCGGGACUGAGAUACGGCCCAGACUACUACGGGAGGCAGAAGUGGGGAAGAUUGCCUAAGGGGAGGAAGCCUGAUGCAGCAACGCCGCGUGCGGGAUGCCGUCCUUCGGGUUGUAAACCGCUUUCGCCUGAGACGAAGCGUGAGUGACGGUAAUGGGUAAAGAAGCACCGGCUAACUACGUG